UACAGAGGGUGCAAGCGUUGUUCGGAAUUAUUGGGCGUAAAGCGCGUGUAGGCGGCUUUGCAAGUCGGGUGUGAAAGCCCUCGGCUCAACCGAGGAAGUGCGCCCGAAACUGCAGAGCUUGAGUGCCGGAGAGGGUGGCGGAAUUCCCCAAGUAGAGGUGAAAUUCGUAGAUAUGGGGAGGAACACCGGUGGCGAAGGCGGCCACCUGGACGGUGACUGACGCUGAGACGCGAAAGCGUGGGGAGCAAACAGG
rnacentral:rRNA from 1 species